GUGCAGCAGGCGCGAAAACUUUACCCUGUGGGAAACCGUGAUAAGGGGACACUGAGUGCCAGCAUCAUAUGCUGGCUGUCCAGGUGUGUAAAAUACACCUGUUAGCAAGGGCCGGGCAAGACCGGUGCCAGCCGCCGCGGUAACACCGGCGGCCCGAGUGGUGAUCGUGAUUAUUGGGUCUAAAGGGUCCGUAGCCGGUUUGGUCAGUCCUCCGGGAAAUCUGACGGCUCAACCGUUAGGCUUUCGGGGGAUACUGCCAGGCUUGGAACCGGGAGAGGUAAGAGGUACUACAGGGGUAGGAGUGAAAUCUUGUAAUCCCUGUGAGACCACCUGUGGCGAAGGCGUCUUACCAGAACGGGUUCGACGGUGAGGGACGAAAGCUGGGGGCACGAACCGGAUUAGAUACCCGGGUAGUCCCAGCCGUAAACGAUGCUCGCUAGGUGUCAGGCAUGGCGCGACCGUGUCUGGUGCCGCAGGGAAGCCGUGAAGCGAGCCACCUGGGAAGUACGGCCGCAAGGCUGAAACUUAAAGGAAUUGGCGGGGGAGCAC
rnacentral:rRNA from 1 species